AUAACUAAGCGGAGGAAAAGAAACUAACUAGGAUUCCCCCAGUAACGGCGAGUGAAGCGGGAAGAGCUCAUGUUGUAAAUCUGCCCUCGUGGCCGAAUUGUAGUCUGGAGAGGCGUGGCUAGACGUGGACGGGGAUGAAGUCUCUUGGAAAAGAGCAUCAUGGAGGGUGAAAAUCCCGUGCUUGUCCCCGGUCGACGAUCGUAAAACCCGUUUUCUAAGAGUCGAGUUGCUUGGGAUUGCAGCUCAAAGUGGGUGGUAAAUUCCAUCUAAAGCUAAACACGCGUAGGAGACCGAUAGCGAACAAGUACCGUGAGGGAAAGAUGGAAAGAACUUUGAAAAGAGAGUUAAAGAGUGCCUGAAAUUGCUGAAAGAGAAGCGAAGGAAAUCAGUGUCUGUCGGUUCCGCUUCUUUGGCGUUCCUCGGAGCGCCUUAUUGCGUUUCCGUCGUGGCCAGGGUCGGGUAGUAUUGCGGGAGCCUGCGCUGUCGGGAGGUACGUCUCCUUUGGAGAUGGAAUGCCGUGGCGUGUCGUCGCGAUGGUGGCCGACCCUGACGAAAUGGUUUUCUUCAC
rnacentral:rRNA from 1 species